UGCAAAUAAUGUGCACAAUUAUCUUGGAGCUUCCGUUAGGAUAUCGCAAAUCGACACGCCUACUCCAGACAGUCUCUCCACUGCAACACAAACAGAUAGCCCACUUUAGUUUUACUAUACGUUUCAAGUUUUGUCCAAAUGCCCGGAUUAGGACGCGAAGAAGAUCUUAUCAUUAUCAGAGGUCUGCCCGGAUCGGGCAAAAGAGCAGAAGCAAGAGAGCUAUGGAGACAGUACGGAGGACAAGGCACCAUUAUACGCGCGUUUGAUUAUCACGGUCCAAAUGGCGAAAACUUUGAUCGCAGAAAUCAGGGCCGCUCGCACAAAUGGGCGCAGAGACUAGCUUUUGAGGCAAUGGAAAGGCUCGAUGAUCCUGUCAUAAUUUGCAACAUGAAUACAGAAUUGUGGAUGAUGUAUCCUUACGUUAAGAUGGGUUUUCAUGCUGGAUAUUACAUUAAGUUUGUUGACAUGCCAGAAUACGACCUCGAUUACUUAUACAGGGCAUGUGGAGGAAAUGUGCCUCGUAAUUUGCUGAGAAGAUGGGAUGGAAACUAUCAGGAAGUGUAUGCAGGUGUCCGUGGGGUUUUCCAGGUCCUGAAUGAUGAAAACAGCAAUAAAUGGUGGAAAAAUGAUGAAUGGUUAGAUGAGCGUGUAGAUGAUCUAAAAUACGCUAGAAACGAACGAUGGACAACAUAACGGAAUGAUCAAGUGAUGGAUGUGGAUACAGUAUCUGGAUGACUCCAAAGUGUGUAUGUUGGUCCAAAAUACUUAGAAAUGGACUACCACAGAGAAGCCUUGGGAACGUUUUUUUGUUGUUAUUGUUUGUUUUGUUUGUUUGUUUGUUUUUAUUAAGUCGUGUAUUCAUGAGAAAGCAUAUCAUGUAGUGUAUGGGAUGUCAGUAAAUGAGAUUGAAGGAGACCUCUUCUGUGUACCAGCAGAGUUGAAAGGAGAAACUGUCAGCUUUCUUUCUCAGCUGCAAAAUUCCUCUUUAUUUUAUUUUCUAUUUCUGUGUCUUUUUAAUUGAAUAUUUCUAUUUUCCAUUAAAAAGGCUUGCAGAAAGCUUGUCCUCUUAA